UCGUGGAGCUCCGGCUCCUUCGAGGGAGAACCCUUGCCUUUUGAGCACCUGUUUGUUUCCUCGGCAGGCCCGCCUGCCAAUGGGGACCCCUUCAAACUCUUGCAAUAACCUAUAUGAAAUCGUCUGAACAAAACAAACAAAUCA
rnacentral:misc_RNA from 1 species